AGGACGAACGCUGGCGGCGUGCUUAACACAUGCAAGUCGAGCGGAAAGGCCCUUCGGGGUACUCGAGCGGCGAACGGGUGAGUAACACGUGAGCAACCUGCCCUUAGCUUCGGGAUAGCUCCGGGAAACCGGAAUUAAAUACCGAAUAUGACUUUGGCUGACAUCAGCAGAAGUGGAAAGUUUUUUCGGCUAGGGAUGGACUCGCGGCCUAUCAGCUAGUUGGUGAGGUAACGGCCCACCAAGGCGACGACGGGUA
rnacentral:rRNA from 1 species